AAAGGAAUAGACGGGGGCCCGCACAAGCGGUGGAGCACGUGGUUUAAUUCGAUGCUAACCGCAGAACCUUACCUGGGUUUGACAUCCACGGAAGCCUUUAGAGAUAGAGGUGUGCCUAGCUUGCUAGGAGCCGUGAGACAGGUGCUGCAUGGCUGUCGUCAGCUCGUGCCGUGAGGUGUUGGGUUAAGUCCCGCAACGAGCGCAACCCUUGCUUCCAGUUGCUACCAUUCAGUUGAGCACUUUGGAGGGACAGCCGGCGAUAAGCCGGAGGAAGGUGGGGACGACGUCAAGUCAUCAUGGCCCUUAUGUCCAGGGCUACACACGUGCUACAAUGGCAUAUGCAGAGGGCAGCGAAGCCGCGAGGUGGAGCGAAUCUCAUAAAGUAUGCCUCAGUUCAGAUUGCAGUCUGCAACUCGACUGCAUGAAGUCGGAAUCGCUAGUAAUCGCAGGUCAGCAAAACUGCGGUGAAUACGUUCCCGGGCCUUGUACACACCGCCCGU
rnacentral:rRNA from 1 species